GAUUAACGCUGGCGGCGUGCCUAAUGCAUGCAAGCCGAACGGCCCGAUUUAUCGGGCAGUGGCGAACGGGUGAGUAACGCGUAAGAACCUACCCUCAAGUGGGGGAUAACCCCGAGAAAUCGGGGCUAAUACCGCAUAAGCUCCCCGAUUAUAUCGGGGAGGAAAGCUGAGGCGCUUGAGGACGGGCUUGCGUCCGAUUAGCUGGUUGGUGAGGUAAUGGCUCACCAAGGCUGAGAUCGGUAGCUGGUUUGAGAGGACGGUCAGCCACACUGGGACUGAGAUACGGCCCAGACUCCUACGGGAGGCAGCAGCAGGGGAUAUUGCGCAAUGGGUGAAAGCCUGACGCAGCAACGCCGCGUGGGGGAAGAAGGUCUUCGGGUUGUAAACCCCUUUUCUCGGGGAAGAUAGUGACGGUACCCGAGGAAUAAGUCUCGGCUAACUACGUGCCAGCAGCCGCGGUAAGACGUAGGAGGCGAGCGUUAUCCGGAUUUACUGGGCGUAAAGGGCGUGUAGGCGGCUCUUCAAGUCUGUGGUGAAAUCUCCCGGCUCAACUGGGAGGGUGCCAGAGAAACUGGAGGGCUUGAGGGCAGCAGAGGGGGGUGGAAUUCCCGGUGUAGUGGUGAUAUGCGUAGAUAUCGGGAGGAACACCAGUGGCGAAGGCGGCCCCCUGGGCUGUUCCUGGCGCUGAGGCGCGAAAGCGUGGGGAGCAAACAGGAUUAGAUACCCUGGUAGUCCACGCCGCAAACGAUGGACACUAGGUAUGGGGGGUAUCGACCCCCUCCGUGCCGAAGCUUACGCUUUAAGUGUCCCGCCUGGGGAGUACGGCCGCAAGGCUA
rnacentral:rRNA from 1 species